CCCUACCCAAAUCCGUAAAAAAUAGAACCCAACCCCUUCCAUGGCACACAUGGAUCCUCACUUUGAUGAGAACUCUGGUGAAUCUGACCCCUUGGAAUCUCAUCAUAUAAACUCUUCUUCUAUGAUAUCUAAAUUGACAGCAAAGAUAACAGAAGUUUUGAGCAAAGCUUCAGCACCUACUUCAGCCGCUGACUUAAUGGCUACAGGGAUCGGUAUCAAGCUAGACGGCACGAAUUAUGCCCUCUGGUCACAGGUCGUAGAGAUGUACGUAGCAGGCAAAGAUAAACUUGGAUACCUCAAUGGAGACCUUCCUCAGCCACCAACAAUCAACCUUCAUUUCGUAAGUGGCAGACUGAAAAUUCAAAUGUAAAGGGAUGGCUGAUUGGUUCAAUGGACUCAUCCCUUAUUGGCAACUUCAUCUGAUUUCUAACAACAAAGCAGGUUUGGGAUGCAAUUGCAACCACUUACUUUGAUGGAAGUGAUGCAUCCCAGGUUUACGAACUCCGACGGUGAGUGGCACGGCUUAGGCAAGGUAGCGGGAGAUUGGAAAAGUAUUACAAUGAUCUCCAAGGCUUAUGGCGUGAGAUUGAUUUUCGUCGUCCCAACCCAAUGAAAUGUCCAGAAGAUAUUAAACACUAUAACAAUAUGUUGCAGGAGGAUCAGGUAUAUACUUUUCUUGAUGGUUUGGAUGAUAAAUUGGAUAAUAUUAGAAGUGAUGUUUUACAACUUCAGCCCUUUCCCACAUUAGAGCAGGCGUAUGCCCAUGUUCGGAGAGAAGCUAUUCGACAAUCAGUAAUGACAAUCAAUGAUGGAGAAGACACGGCCGGGGCGGUGUUGGCGGCUCUCCACUCCAGCCAACUCUUUGUCAUUGACCGUAAAACUCAAUUCAGCCCCUAAAUCAAUAGUCCCAUCUGAUGGAACUAAAUGUUCUCAUUGUGGAAGUUUGAAACAUAACCGAGACACAUGCUUCAAAUUGCAUGGCUACCCGGAUUGGUGGCAUGAAUUACAAGCCAAGAGACGACGAGAUGGUAACAAGAAUGAUGGUGGAACAAGCAAAAGUGCAGCAAACAGCAUGGGCAAGGCGGCAAUAGCCUCUACUUAGUCUAAAUUGUCACUUGUUCCUACGGCAACAACUGACUUGGAUACAGGUAUGAGUUUUCUCGGGAUCAAUACAUCUGAAUCUUACGAUGGUUGGAUCCUUGAUUCAGGAGCAACUGACCACAUGAUGUAUGAUGCAAGUGACUUUUCUGAACGAUCCUCUCCUCAACGUAUUAGUAUUGUUAAUGCUAAUGGAGACGUAUCUUUGGUAAAUGGGGCUGGUACAGUGAUGAUUUCACCAACCCUCUCCUUAACUAAUACUCUUUUUGUGCCCUCAUUGUCUUAUAAAUUAUUGUUAGUAAGCCAAAUCACGAAGGAGUUAAAUUGUGUUGUUCUGAUUUAUCCCACUUUUUGCCUUCUUUAGGAUAUUCUCACCAAGGAGAUAAUUGGGCGUGGUACUAAAAGGAGGGGGCUCUACUAUAUGUAAGAUUUUGGCAUCGGUCAAGCUAAUCACACUAGAGGCUCCGGUGAUCAAAAUAAGUCAAAUAUUUUGCUAUGGCAUCGUCGGUUAGGACAUCCUUCGUUUGGUUAUCUGAAACAUGUAUCUCCUACUUUAUUUUCCAAUUUGUCAGAUUUGGAUCUUAAAUGUGAAACAUGCAUCUUAGCUAAAAGUCGCCGUGCUACUUAUCCUUUAAGUUUGAAUAAGAGUUAGACACCUUUCGAAUUGAUUCAUUCUGAUGUGUGGGGUCCAUCUCCCAAACCUACUAUAUCUGGUGUUCAAUGACUUGUGAUUUUUGUGGAUGAUUGCACUCGUA
rnacentral:lncRNA from 1 species